rnacentral:rRNA from 1 species
UACGUAGGGUGCAAGCGUUGUCCGGAAUUAUUGGGCGUAAAGAGCUUGUAGGCGGUUUGUCGCGUCUGCUGUGAAAUUUCGGGGCUCAACCCCGAACUUGCAGUGGGUACGGGCAGACUAGAGUGUGGUAGGGGAGACUGGAAUUCCUGGUGUAGCGGUGAAAUGCGCAGAUAUCAGGAGGAGCACCGAUGGCGAAGGCAGGUCUCUGGGCCAUAACUGACGCUGAGAAGCGAAAGCAUGGGGAGCGAACAGG